rnacentral:pre_miRNA from 1 species
AGGGGAUUGCCGGAUCCUGGGCUGUGUCCCCUGGGCUCAGGGCUCCAGGGCCUGCGCCACUGGAAUUGCUCUCCCAGGGCCAGCACAUACCCCU